rnacentral:rRNA from 1 species
UCGUGGGUUGACCUGUCUGCUUGAUUGCGAUAACAAACGAGACCUCCACCUACUAAAUACAGUGGUUUCAUCAGAUUCUUGCUGUUCUUAGAGGGACUAUCGGUGCAAGCCGAAGGAAGCUGGAGGCAAUAACA